rnacentral:rRNA from 1 species
GACGAACGCUGGCGGCGUGCUUAACACAUGCAAGUCGAACGGAAAGGCCUGCUUUCCCUUGUGGAUUGCGGGUACUCGAGUGGCAAACGGGUGAGUAACACGUGAGUGAUCUGCCCCCAACUUGGGUAUAAGCCUGGGAAACUGGGUCUAAUUCCCGAUAGGACUGCAGGGUGGUGCCUGUGGUGGAAAACGAUUUUCUAGUGGUUGGGGAUGAGCUCGCGGCCUAUCAGCUUGUUGGUGGGGUAAUGGCCUACCAAGGCGGCGACGGGUAGCCGGCCUGAGAGGGUGGACGGCCACAUUGGGACUGAGAGACGGCCCAGACUCCUACGGGAGGCAGCAGUGGGGAAUAUUGCACAAUGGGCGGAAGCCUGAUGCAGCGACGCCGCGUGGGGGAUGACGGCCUUCGGGUUGUAAACUCCUUUCGACCGCGAGGAAGCCACCUGGUUGGAAGGGUGGUGACGGUAGUGGUAGAAGAAGCACCGGCUAACUACGUG